ACCGUAGUAGUAGUGGCAGUAUCAUAACCAAUGAAGUUAAUCUGAGGUGUGAUUAUUGCUACUUGAAAAUUCCACAUAUCUACUCUCCUCUACUACCUUCGUGUAAAAACCUACCCUCAAAACAGUGUAUUGCCAUAAGAAUAUGAUUGUGGUCAAUCCUGAUUG
rnacentral:snRNA from 1 species